AGCUGGAAUCGCUAGUAAUCGCGGAUCAGCACGCCGCGGUGAAUACGUUCCCGGGCCUUGUACACACCGCCCGUCACACCAUGAGAGUCUGUAACACCCAAAGCCGGUGGGAUAACCUUUAUAGGAGUCAGCCGUCUAAGGUAGGACAGAUGAUUAGGGUGAAGUCGUAACAAGGUACC
rnacentral:rRNA from 1 species